ensembl:lncRNA
AUCCAAAACAUUUAAAGAAUUCAUAUAGGUCAACAUCAAAACAACAGUGAAAAAUUUUAAAUAAUGGCAGAAGAGCCAAACAGACAUUUUUCUGAAGAAAACUUACAGACAGCUAACACACAUGAAAAGAUGAUCAGUUCAGUUCAGUUCAGUCACUCAGUCGUGUCCGACUCUUUGCGACCCCAUGAAUCACAGCACCCCAGGCCUCCCUGUCCAUCACCAACUCCUAGCGUUCACUCAGACUCACGUCCAUCAAGUCAGUGAUUCCAUCCAGCCACCUCAUCCUCUGUCGUCUCCUUCUCCUUCUGCCCCCAAUCCCUCCCAGCAUCAGUCUUUUCCAAUGAGUCAACCAGGGGUGGCGGCCAGGAGGACCUACCCCACGCCCGAGGGCAGGGGCGGUGGCCGGAGGAGCAACCCCACGUCCAAGGAGUGGUGGCUGCGAGGGCGCAGGAGGGCCUAGAGGAGCUAUUCCACGUUCAAGGUCGAGAGGGGCGAUGGUGAGGAGACACCCCUUGUCCAAAGUAAAGCGCAGGAGCAGCCGUGAAGAGAUACCCCAUGUCCAAGGUUGGAGGCUGCGUCUUCGCCCAGAAUCACCCAGAACUGAAAGUGCGAGGCUCCCUCAGGCCUUUCCUGAGCCUGAGCAUCUCCUUGUGGGAAGUCCUGAAUUUCAGAUGACUCACUCGAAAUGCAGACCCAACCUCCUGGCAGCACCUAGCAGACAGCUUGCACUC